rnacentral:rRNA from 1 species
AGAGUUUGAUCCUGGCUCAGGAUGAACGCUAGCUACAGGCUUAACACAUGCAAGUCGAGGGGCAGCAUCAUCAAAGCUUGCUUUGAUGGAUGGCGACCGGCGCACGGGUGAGUAACACGUAUCCAACCUGCCGACAACACUGGGAUAGCCUUUCGAAAGAAAGAUUAAUACCGGAUGGCAUAGUCUUCCCGCAUGGGAUGACUAUUAAAGAAUUUCGGUUGUCGAUGGGGAUGCGUUCCAUUAGGCAGUUGGCGGGGUAACGGCCCACCAAACCAACGAUGGAUAGGGGUUCUGAGAGGAAGGUCCCCCACAUUGGAACUGAGACACGGUCCAAACUCCUACGGGAGGCAGCAGUGAGGAAUAUUGGUCAAUGGGCGAGAGCCUGAACCAGCCAAGUAGCGUGAAGGAUGACUGCCCUAUGGGUUGUAAACUUCUUUUAUAAAGGAAUAAAGUCGGGUAUGUAUACCCGUUUGCAUGUACUUUAUGAAUAAGGAUCGGCUAACUCCGUGCCAGCAGCCGCGGUAAUACGGAGGAUCCGAGCGUUAUCCGGAUUUAUUGGGUUUAAAGGGAGCGUAGGCGGGUUGUUAAGUCAGUUGUGAAAGUUUGCGGCUCAACCGUAAAAUUGCAGUUGAUACUGGCGACCUUGAGUGCAACAGAGGUAGGCGGAAUUCGUGGUGUAGCGGUGAAAUGCUUAGAUAUCACGAAGAACUCCGAUUGCGAAGGCAGCUUACUGGAUUGUAACUGACGCUGAUGCUCGAAAGUGUGGGUAUCAAACAGGAUUAGAUACCCUGGUAGUCCACACAGUAAACGAUGAAUACUCGCUGUUGGCGAUAUACAGUCAGCGGCCAAGCGAAAGCAUUAAGUAUUCCACCUGGGGAGUACGCCGGCAACGGUGAAACUCAAAGGAAUUGACGGGGGCCCGCACAAGCGGAGGA